rnacentral:rRNA from 1 species
CCUACGGGAGGCAGCAGUGGGGAAUCUUAGACAAUGGGGGCAACCCUGAUCUAGCCAUGCCGCGUGAGUGAUGAAGGCCUUAGGGUUGUAAAGCUCUUCAGCUGUGAAGAUAAUGACGGUAGCAGCAGAGAUGCAUCC